UUGUGAGGGCAGUCUGGUGCCAGCAGCCGCGGUAAUUCCAGCUCCAAUAGCGUAUAUUAAAGUUGUUGCAGUUAAAAAGCUCGUAGUUGAAUUUCGGGAUCAGAGUGUCGGUCGUGCCUCGGUACGCACUGGUAUUAUUGGUUCCUACCUUCUGAAGAACCGCGAUGUCAUUAAUUUGGUGUCGUGGGGAAUCAGGACUGUUACUUUGAAAAAAUUAGAGUGUUUAAAGCAGGCUUACGCUUGAAUACAUUAGCAUGGAAUAAUGAAAUAGGACGUUUGAUUCUAUUUUGUUGGUUUCUAGGAUUGACGUAAUGAUUAAUAGGGAUAGUUGGGGGCAUUAGCAUUCAAUUGUCAGAGGUGAAAUUCUUGGAUUUAUUGAAGACUAACUACUGCGAAAGCAUUUGCCAAGGAUGUUUUCAUUAAUCAAGAACGAAAGUUAGGGGAUCGAAGACGAUCAGAUACCGUCGUAGUCUUAACCAUAAACUAUGCCGACUAGGGAUCGGAUGAUGUUAAUUUUUUAAUGACUCAUUCGGCGCCUUACGGGAAAC
rnacentral:rRNA from 1 species